rnacentral:lncRNA from 1 species
AUGCUGUCAACGAGAGUUUGAGUUCCCCUCGCAUUUUUAAACUUAUUAAACCUUUGCGGAGCCGUUACGGAUAGCUGUAUCAAAGAAAACUAUAUCGGUUGCUGCUCCUGACCAUUUAACAAUGGAAACUCAUGUUCUUCCAGAGCCUCUUCAUUUCACAGCCCACACUGCACCUCUGUCAUUGUGAGAAAUUCAGUCUCAGGUCUUUGGCUCUGCUGAUAGACUCAAUCCAGUAAGACGCUGCCCUUAGGGACACGGCAUUUGGCACUCACAGAAACCAAUGGAGAAAGACAGCGGGGAGUGAAAACCUCCAUGAAUAUUUUCAUCAGGUAAUCCUUGGUCUCUUGGGCUCACACCUCCCAUUGCACUAAUCAUCCUCUUGAGUUGCAUGCGUCUGGUCUUUGGUUUAAUCCAGGCAACCUGUGAUUAGCCGGGGCCUGUCGCAGCAUGGGGCUGGAUUAGUCUCCCGCCCCGUCAGAUGCUGGUGCCAUCAGGCCUCUGCAAUUGGAGCUCUUAUCUCUCCCAGAUGCUGAUUAUAUGGGCUGUAAUGGACAACACUGGCAGCAUGGCCUAAGGGCAAAAGAGAAGGAAGGAUCUGUGCUGUUGGAAUAGGACUGAGGUUGUUAAAUUGGCCUUAGAGACAGACCUCCACCUUAGCUAAUGAGGGGCUUGGAGAGGUGCUUAUUGUCCUUGUUGGUUUAUUGGGUCAAAUUUUAGUCAGACAGGGAUUCCUCAAAGGCUCAAAGCCCACUAUUAGCGAGUCUCAGGGUAUUGCACUCAGCCUUUACUUGUUUAUGUGGUGAGAUAGAUAUUAACUCUGCUCCUCAGCUCCCAAAAUCGCUAAGGUCU